GACGAACCACACAAACGUUAUUCGGAAUCACUGGGCUUACAGGGUGCGUAGGCUGUGCAGCAAGUGGGGUGUGAAAUCCUACGGCUUAACCGUAGAACUGCGCUCCAAACUGCUGUGCUUGAGGGAGAUAGAGGUGAGCGGAACUUACGGUGGAGCGGUGAAAUGCGUUGAUAUCGUAAGGAACACCGGUGGCGAAAGCGGCUCACUGGAUCUCUUCUGACGCUGAGGCACGAAAGCUAGGGGAGCGAACGGG
rnacentral:rRNA from 1 species